UAAGGAAUAUUGGUCAAUGGACGGAAGUCUGAACCAGCCAUGCCGCGUGGAGGAUGAAGGUCCUCUGGAUUGUAAACUUCUUUUAUCUGGGAAGAAAUCCAUCUUUUCUAGGGUGGUUGACGGUACCAGAUGAAUAAGCACCGGCUAACUCCGUGCCAGCAGCCGCGGUAAUACGGAGGGUGCAAGCGUUAUCCGGAUUCACUGGGUUUAAAGGGUGCGUAGGUGGGCAGGUAAGUCAGUGGUGAAAUCCUGUAGCUUAACUACAGAACUGCCAUUGAUACUAUCUGUCUUGAAUACCCUGGAGGUGAGCGGAAUAUGUCAUGUAGCGGUGAAAUGCUUAGAUAUGACAUAGAACACCCAUUGCGAAGGCAGCUCACUACGGGAAUAUUGACACUGAGGCACGAAAGCGUGGGGAUCAAACAGGAUUAGAUACCCUGGUAGUCCACGCCCUAAACGAUGGAUACUCGACAUCAGCGUAA
rnacentral:rRNA from 1 species